GUGAACGCUGGCGGCAGUGCUUAACACAUGCAAGUCGGACGGGAACGGGGACUUCGGGUCCUGCCGUACGAGUGGCGAACGGGUGAGUAAUGCAGCGGAACGUGCCUCAGGAGUGGGGGAUAACCUUAGCGAAAGUUACGGGCUAAUACCGCAUAGCUCCGGGGAGAUGCAGGGGAAAGUGGUGAUCUGCAUAGGGACCUCACCUUCGGGAGCGGGGCCGAGGCCUAUUAGCUAGUUGGUGAAGGUAAUGGCUACCAAGGCGACGAUCCGGUAGCUGGUCUGAGAGGAUGAGCCAGCCACACGGGGACUGAGACAGCGGCCCAGACUCCUACGGGAGGCAGCAGUGGGGAAUUUUGGACAAUGGGCGCAAGCCUGAUCCAGCCAUGCCGCGUGAGUGAAGAAGGCCUUCGGGUUGUAAAGCUCUUUUGUCAGGAAGGAAAUCCUGCUCGCUAAUACCGAGUGGGGAUGACAGUACCUGAAGAAUAAGCACCGGCUAACUACGUGCCAGCAGCCGCGGUAAUACGUAGGGUGCAAGCGUUAAUCGGAAUUACUGGGCGUAAAGCGUGCGCAGGCGGAUGCAUAAGUCAGACGUGAAAGCCCCGGGCUUAACCUGGGAACGGCGUUUGAAACUGUGCGUCUAGAGUGCGUCAGAGAGGGGUGGAAUUCCGCGUGUAGCAGUGAAAUGCGUAGAGAUGCGGAGGAACACCGAUGGCGAAGGCAGCCCCCUGGGAUGACACUGACGCUCAUGCACGAAAGCGUGGGGAGCAAACAGGAUUAGAUACCCUGGUAGUCCACGCCCUAAACGAUGUCAACUGGUUGUUGGGGAUUUCGGUCCUUAGUAACGAGGCUAACGCGUGAAGUUGACCGCCUGGGGAGUACGGCCGCAAGGUUAAAACUCAAAGGAAUUGACGGGGGCCCGCACAAGCGGUGGAUGAUGUGGAUUAAUUCGAUGCAACGCGAAGAACCUUACCUACCCUUGACAUGCCUCGAACCCUGAAGAGAUUUGGGGGUGCCCGAAAGGGAGCGAGGACACAGGUGCUGCAUGGCUGUCGUCAGCUCGUGUCGUGAGAUGUUGGGUUAAGUCCCGCAACGAGCGCAACCCUUGCCAUUAGUUGCCAUCAUUAAGUUGGGCACUUUAAUGGGACUGCCGGUGACAAACCGGAGGAAGGUGGGGAUGACGUCAAGUCCUCAUGGCCCUUAUGGGUAGGGCUUCACACGUCAUACAAUGGUCGGUACAGAGGGUUGCCAAGCCGCGAGGUGGAGCUAAUCUCAGAAAGCCGAUCGUAGUCCGGAUUGCAGUCUGCAACUCGACUGCAUGAAGUCGGAAUCGCUAGUAAUCGCGGAUCAGCAUGUCGCGGUGAAUACGUUCCCGGGCCUUGUACACACCGCCCGUCACACCAUGGGAGUGGAAUCCGCCAGAAGUGGGUAGCCUAACCGCAAGGGGGGCGCUCACCACGGUAGGUUUCAUGACUGGGGUG
rnacentral:rRNA from 1 species